rnacentral:piRNA from 1 species
UGCCAGAAGGGUCUCGACCCACAGGU